rnacentral:rRNA from 1 species
GAUGAACGCUGGCGGCGUGCCUAAUACAUGCAAGUCGAGCGAACAGACGAUGAGCUUUCUCCUCUGACGUUAGCGGCGGACGGGUGAGUAACACGUGGAUAACCUACCUAUAAGACUGGGAUAACUUCGGGAAACCGGAGCUAAUACCGGAUAAUAUAUUGAACCGCAUGGUUCAAUAGUUAAAGACGGUUUUGCUGUCACUUAUAGAUGGAUCCGCGCCGCAUUAGCUAGUUGGUAAGGUAACGGCUUACCAAGGCAACGAUGCGUAGCCGACCUGAGAGGGUGAUCGGCCACACUGGAACUGAGACACGGUCCAGACUCCUACGGGAGGCAGCAGUAGGGAAUCUUGCGCAAUGGGCGAAAGCCUGACGGAGCAACGCCGCGUGAGUGAUGAAGGUCUUCGGAUCGUAAAACUCUGUUAUUAGGGAAGAACAAAUGUGUAAGUAACUAUGGACGUCUUGACGGUACCUAAUCAGAAAGCCACGGCUAACUACGUG